AGUGAACGCUGGCGGUAGGCCUAACACAUGCAAGUCGAACGGCAGCACAGUAAGAGCUUGCUCUUACGGGUGGCGAGUGGCGGACGGGUGAGGAAUACAUCGGAAUCUACUUUUUCGUGGGGGAUAACGUAGGGAAACUUACGCUAAUACCGCAUACGACCUACGGGUGAAAGCAGGGGAUCUUCGGACCUUGCGCGAUUGAAUGAGCCGAUGUCGGAUUAGCUAGUUGGCGGGGUAAAGGCCCACCAAGGCCACGAUCCGUAGCUGGUCUGAGAGGAUGAUCAGCCACACUGGAACUGAGACACGGUCCAGACUCCUACGGGAGGCAGCAGUGGGGAAUAUUGGACAAUGGGCGCAAGCCUGAUCCAGCCAUACCGCGUGGGUGAAGAAGGCCUUCGGGUUGUAAAGCCCUUUUGUUGGGAAAGAAAAGCAGCAGGUUAAUACCCCGCUGUUCUGGCGGCACCCAAAGAAUAAGCACCGGCUAACUUCGUG
rnacentral:rRNA from 1 species